GACGGAGGAUGCGAGUGUUAUCCGGAAUCACUGGGCGUAAAGCGUCUGUAGGCGGUCAAAUAAGUCAACUGUUAAAUCUUGAGGCUCAACCUCGAAAUGGCAUUCGAAACUAUUAGACUAGAGUAUAGUAGGGGUAAAGGGAAUUUCAAGUGGAGCGGUGAAAUGCGUAGAUAUUGGAAAGAACACCGGUGGCGAAGGCACUUUACUGGGCUAUUACUAACACUCAGAGAAGAAAGCUAGGGUAGCAAAUGGG
rnacentral:rRNA from 1 species